rnacentral:snoRNA from 1 species
UUUCAUGAUGAAACAACAAACGUAUCAAUCUGUCAAUCCCCUGAUUCAUAGUGAUGAUAAAUACGGCUGUCCAAGGCUUCUGAUC